AUCUGAGGGCCUGAAUACCUAAAAAGUCACCAGAUCCCACCUGCUCUUGGAAGCUAAGCAAGGUUAGCUUUGGUUAGUAUUUGGAUGUAAGACAACCAAGGAAUAGCAAGUGCUGCAGGUU
rnacentral:rRNA from 11 species